rnacentral:rRNA from 1 species
AACGCUAGCUACAGGCUUAACACAUGCAAGUCGAGGGGCAGCAUUUUAGUUUGCUUGCAGACUGAAGAUGGCGACCGGCGCACGGGUGAGUAACACGUAUCCAACCUGCCGAUAACUCCGGAAUAGCCUUUCGAAAGAAAGAUUAAUACCGGAUGGCAUACGAAUAUCGCAUGAUAUUUUUAUUAAAGAAUUUCGGUUAUCGAUGGGGAUGCGUUCCAUUAGUUUGUUGGCGGGGUAACGGCCCACCAAGACUACGAUGGAUAGGGGUUCUGAGAGGAAGGUCCCCCACAUUGGAACUGAGACACGGUCCAAACUCCUACGGGAGGCAGCAGUGAGGAAUAUUGGUCAAUGGGCGAGGGCCUGAACCAGCCAAGUAGCGUGAAGGAUGAAGGCUCUAUGGGUCGUAAACUUCUUUUAUAUGGGAAUAAAGUUUUCCACGUGUGGAAUUUUGUAUGUACCAUAUGAAUAAGGAUCGGCUAACUCCGUGCCAGCAGCCGCGGUAAUACGGAGGAUCCGAGCGUUAUCCGGAUUUAUUGGGUUUAAAGGGAGCGUAGGUGGAUUGUUAAGUCAGUUGUGAAAGUUUGCGGCUCAACCGUAAAAUUGCAGUUGAAACUGGGAGUCUUGAGUACAGUAGAGGUGGGCGGAAUUCGUGGUGUAGCGGUGAAAUGCUUAGAUAUCACGAAGAACUCCGAUUGCGAAGGCAGCUCACUAGACUGUCACUGACACUGAUG